rnacentral:sRNA from 2 species
UUGUAACAAUGCGUUAGGGAUUGCAAUGAAAAUCCUUUUUAUGAGGUACGAGUAAAAAGAUUGUAAUGUAAAGCCCGACCCGUU